rnacentral:rRNA from 14 species
CGGCCCAGACUCCUACGGGAGGCAGCAGUGGGGAAUUUUGGACAAUGGGGGAAACCCUGAUCCAGCAAUGCCGCGUGUGCGAAGAAGGCCUUCGGGUUGUAAAGCACUUUUGUCAGGGAAGAAAUCCUUUGGGCUAAUACCCUAGGGGGAUGACGGUACCUGAAGAAUAAGCACCGGCUAACUACGUGCCAGCAGCCGCGGUAAUACGUAGGGUGCGAGCGUUGUCCGGAAUUACUGGGCGUAAAGGGCUCGUAGGUGGUUUGUCGCGUCGUCUGUGAAAUUCCGGGGCUUAACUCCGGGCGUGCAGGCGAUACGGGCAUAACUUGAGUGCUGUAGGGGUAACUGGAAUUCCUGGUGUAGCGGUGAAAUGCGCAGAUAUCAGGAGGAACACCGAUGGCGAAGGCAGGUUACUGGGCAGUUACUGACGCUGAGGAGCGAAAGCAUGGGUAGCGAACAGGAUUAGAUACCCUGGUAGUCCACGCCGUAAAC